UACGGAGGGGGCGAGCGUUGUCCGAAGUUACUGGGCGUAAAGAGCGCGCAGGCGGUCGUUCAAGUCGCGUGUGAAAGCCCCCGGCUCAACUGGGGAGGGUCACGCGAUACUGAUCGACUCGAAGGCAGGAGAGGGUAGUGGAAUUCCCGGUGUAGUGGUGAAAUGCGUAGAUAUCGUAAGGAAGACCAGUGGCGAAGGCGAAUCUCUGGACAGUUACUGACACUGAGGCACGAAGGCCAGGGGAGCAAACGGG
rnacentral:rRNA from 1 species